rnacentral:rRNA from 1 species
AGCGAACGCUAGCGGCAGGCCUAACACAUGCAAGUCGAACGAACUCUUCGGAGUUAGUGGCGGACGGGCGAGUAACACGUGGGAACGUGCCUUUAGGUUCGGAAUAACUCAGGGAAACUUGUGCUAAUACCGAAUGUGCCCUUCGGGGGAAAGAUUUAUCGCCUUUAGAGCGGCCCGCGUCUGAUUAGCUAGUUGGUGAGGUAACGGCUCACCAAGGCGACGAUCAGUAGCUGGUCUGAGAGGAUGGCCAGCCACACUGGGACUGAGACACGGCCCAGACUCCUACGGGAGGCAGCAGUGGGGAAUCUUGCGCAAUGGGCGAAAGCCUGACGCAGCCAUGCCGCGUGAAUGAUGAAGGUCUUAGGAUUGUAAAAUUCUUUCACCGGGGACGAUAAUGACGGUACCCGGAGAAGAAGCCCCGGCUAACUUCGUGCCAGCAGCCGCCGUAA